AUUGAACGCUGGCGGAAUGCUUUACACAUGCAAGUCGGGCGGCAGCAUGGACUUCGGUCUGAUGGCGAGCGGCGAACGGGUGAGUAAUGCAUCGGAACGUACCUAGUCGUGGGGGAUAACUACUCGAAAGAGUAGCUAAUACCGCAUACGUCCUACGGGAGAAAGCAGGGGAUCGCAAGACCUUGCGCGAUUGGAGCGGCCGAUGUCUGAUUAGCUAGUUGGUGGGGUAAAGGCUCACCAAGGCGACGAUCAGUAGCGGGUCUGAGAGGAUGAUCCGCCACACUGGGACUGAGACACGGCCCAGACUCCUACGGGAGGCAGCAGUGGGGAAUUUUGGACAAUGGGCGCAAGCCUGAUCCAGCCAUUCCGCGUGAGUGAAGAAGGCCUCGGGUUGUAAAGCUCUUUCGGCAGGAAAGAAAUCGCCGCUCUAACAUAGCGGGUGGAUGACGGUACCUGAAGAAGAAGCACCGGCUAACUACGUGCCAGCAGCCGCGGUAAUACGUAGGGUGCGAGCG
rnacentral:rRNA from 1 species